GACGAACGCUGGCGGCGUGCCUAAUACAUGCAAGUCGAGCGCAGGAAGUCGACGGAACCCUUCGGGGGGAAGUCGACGGAAUGAGCGGCGGACGGGUGAGUAACACGUAAAGAACCUGCCCUCAGGUCUGGGAUAACCACGAGAAAUCGGGGCUAAUACCGGAUGGGUCAUCGGACCGCAUGGCCCGAGGAUGAAAGGCGCUUCGGCGUCGCCUGGGGUUGGCUUUGCGGUGCAGUAGCUAGUUGGGGGGGUAAUGGCCCACGAAGGCGACGAUGCAUAGCCGACCUGAGAGGGUGAUCGGCCACACUGGGACUGAGACACGGCCCAGACUCCUACGGGAGGCAGCAGUAGGGAAUCUUCCACAAUGGACGAAAGUCUGAUGGAGCAACGCCGCGUGAACGAUGAAGGCCUUCGGGUCGUAAAGUUCUGUUGUAAGGGAAGAACAAGUGCCGCAGGCAAUGGCGGCACCUUGACGGUACCUUGCGAGAAAGCCACGGCUAACUACGUGCCAGCCGCCGCAGUAAAAC
rnacentral:rRNA from 1 species